AGCGUAGGUGGCCUAACAUGUCAACUGUGAAAACCCGGAGCUCAACUCCGGACUUGCAGUUGAAACUGGUAGGCUUGAGGACGGUAGAGGAAGACGGAACUGGCCAGUGUAGGGGUAAAAUCCUUAGAUAUUGGCAGGAACGCCGGUGACGAAGGUGGUUUUCUGGGCCGGUUCUGACACUGAUGCUCGAAAGCCAGGGGAGCGAACG
rnacentral:rRNA from 1 species